rnacentral:rRNA from 1 species
CACGUAGGGGGCAAGCGUUGUCCGGAUUUAUUGGGCGUAAAGAGCUCGUAGGCGGCUCAGUAAGUCAGGUGUGAAACCUCCAGGCUCAACCUGGAGACGCCACCUGAUACUGCUGUGGCUAGAGUCCGGUAGGGGAGCGUGGAAUUCCUGGUGUAGCGGUGAAAUGCGCAGAUAUCAGGAGGAACACCAGCGGCGAAGGCGGCGCUCUGGGCCGGAGCUGACGCUGAGGAGCGAAAGCGUGGGUAGCAAACAGG